AUGAGGCUUUGGCUCCAUGUAGUGUUCCUUGCAGUGGCUUUGGAAGGUGUCCGGUCCCAGGUGCUGGUGGAGUCCGGAGGGGAUGUGAAAAAGCCCGGAGACUCUCUCCGCCUCACCUGCAAAGCCUCCGGCUUCACCUUCAGCAGCUACACUAUGCACUGGGUCCGUCAGGCUCCAGGGAAGGGGCUGGAAUGGGUCUCACUCAUUUACACUGAUGGGAGCCAACAAUUUUACGCAGACUCAGUCAAAGGCCGAUUUACCAUCUCCAGGGACAAUUCCAACAACCUGCUGUAUUUGCAAAUGACCGGCCUGAAGCCCGAGGACACCGCCCGGUAUCACUGUGCGGGAGACACAGUGAGGGGAAGCCGGGCUGAGCUCAGACAAAAACCUGCCCUCGCUGGCUAAGGACAAACUCUCCACUGGGGGCGCUGGAGUUCUACAGCUCGCAGCGGAGAGACAGUGAGUGAGAAAACUCCUGUCCGCAGCUGCCUGUCUGUGACUCUCACACACACAGCUGCAGACACAGACUAACCGCACUGUUAGCAGAGACCAGCCUGCAACUUUCCCU